UACGUAGGGUGCAAGCGUUAAUCGGAAUUACUGGGCGUAAAGGGCGCGUAGGCGGCCUGCUAAGUCGAACGUGAAAUCCCCGGGCUCAACCCGGGAACUGCGUCCGAGACUGGAAGGCUCGAAUCCGGGAGAGGGAUGUGGAAUUCCAGGUGUAGCGGUGAAAUGCGUAGAUAUCUGGAGGAACAUCGGUGGCGAAGGCGGCAUCCUGGACCGGUAUUGACGCUGAGGCGCGAAAGCCAGGGGAGCAAAGCGGG
rnacentral:rRNA from 1 species